AGCCUCGGUGUACCGAGCCGCCGCUAAUCUGCACCUGAAUGUGUUCCAACAGGAAAAAUAAAUCUUGUCAGUACCUGCGCUGGUUAGCUGCUGCUGGAGCCAAGCUGCAGCGCCGCGUGUCAGCCUUGCCCGGGGCCGGCGCGUGGGCUCCCGCGCUGCCGCACCAGCCGCUUCCCCUACCUGCCUCGAGGUCAAUAGCCGCUCUCUGAUUAGGAGGAUCCUGUGCAAGGAGAGCUGCAGUUUAAGGAGGUCAGGUUGCAUGAAGUGCAGAACUUGCAGGGACAGGUGAGCAGUUGUGCAAACUCGGCAACAAGCGACUGAGAAGGUCGCGCUCCUGCCGCGGUUUGUGCCUGUACGUCGUACGUCCACGGGGAGCACGGGGCGUCUCCUCCCUUCGCUGGUGCCUAGCGCAAGCGGUUCUUCGCUUCCAGACCGCACCCCCCGAGCUGUUGGCUGUAGGAAAUGCUCCUUGCAGCCUGAUGUGACUGUGAGCGGCUGGCGUCGGUCGUUGGCUUCAGAAGACCGUUCUCUGCAGAGUUGAGUGAAACGGUGAUGUUGGCCUUACCCUAUUUUAGCUUCAAAGGAUGCAUUCUCAUAGCUCCCGAAUUAUUACAAAACCCAGCUUUCACUGGAUAAAACUUUGAAACUGCAAUAUUGACCAUUUUAUAUGCAUAUGAUCAGUUUUUCUGUGGUGAAGAUACAGCAACAUCCUCUUUCUGUUUUGACCCAGCCCAUUAGCUAUUUUUGCAUUCAUUAUUUGUGGUAUUUGAACAUAGCCUCACAAUUUGCUACCCUCUAAUCUUGCAUUUCUUUAUUUGUGAUUCAGAUAACUUUUGCAUUACCAAAAUAAUUUGCUUCAAUAAAAUAUUCUAUUUCAGAGAAAAAUAAUGCUUUGAACUUACUUUGUGUUUUUUCAC